GGCCCUGGCUGGGCCAGUCCUUCGUAUCUUGGGUGUUUCUGGCCCCACGCUCAGUUCUUCACUGGGCGAGUCUCCCAGGGUGGGACCCUCAUAUACUCAAGGACUUCACUGCUGACAGCUUGAUUCAUUUAAUUCAUUAGCUUCCCAACAACCAGGGGAUAUACUGCUGGCUCCUACAUCUAUGGGCACACGUGUAUUCUUUUUAGUCGGGUCUCUUGAAAUAGCCUGGAAAUGUGCCCUUAAACUGCAGGGGAAAAAAAUCUGGGAAAUGCCUUUUCCUGUAAAAGCUCUGAUUUUACAUGCAUGCCCACAGCCACCACAGUCAGGGCUGCCACACAGGACAGACAGGGAGGGGCCGCCCUUCCCUACUUUGCUGUGUUAUAAAUGAACAUGUUCAGUUCCAACAACCUUAAUAAGCAGAAGAUUUCUCAAAUGCACAACACAGUACUCCAUUUCUACUUUUUUAUUGGUAAGCGAUGGGAUUUCAUUUGUAAUGUAUAAUUCUGAGAACUCGUGGGCACUUACAAGCACUUUAAUGCUCUAAGAUGAUUGAGGUGAUGAAGAGACUGCAAUAAAAUAUCUCUGAAACCAAAGAUGAUCAAUCACAGGGUCGUUUUCCCUAGCCAGAGAGCUCUCUAGAAUCUAUGAAAAGAUUACUUACUGGAAAAAUGAAAAAAAAAAAAAAAAAAAAAACCAAAAGAAAAAACCAAAAAAAAAAAAACUAAAAACAAAGCCCCAACCACUCCAACAGGGCUCUUUAACUGAACAUUAGUCAUCCCUUUCCCAAGAAAGACAUUCACUCCUCACAGCCUGACAGCCUCAGACAACAGUUAGCUGUCCAAACCCAUUCAGACAAAAUUGAUUAUUUUUUUUUUUCAUGAGGGGUGCAGAUAAAAUUCUCAAAUGAAUUGCCUGAGAAGUCAGUUUGACAUAAUAUCCCAUAAAAUCUUUGCUGCUUGGAAGAACUAUAAAAAGUUUCAUUAACAUAGAGCUUCAUUCCACUCCAACUCUUUGCACCAACUUCAUGGCACGUUAGAGCAUCAAGGCUCAGGUGAUUUACACACAGGGAGCAGAAAUCAUUGCAUCUCAGCCAAAGAGUGUGCAAUUUUAAGUCGGUUUAUCUAACACUUCUAUUACUCAAACUCUGCAUUUAAUAUUUGCAAAAGGUCUAAUGCAGGGUGUGCAUCGGCAUCCUACACAGUUAUAUCUGCACCCAUGUGGUUUUCUACGAAGAGAAGAGAAUCAGGUCAAACUUAUUAUUACACUUGUAUUGCUCUUUCUUCCUUCUGUAUUAGACAUGGUCUCUGGAAGCCCAGAGCAUGGACUAACAAGCUCUGCCACAUCUUAUAGCACAGCAUGUGCUUUCUAACUAUGUAAUAAUGAAAUUCUUUUUUUUUUUUCUUCUUUGAG
rnacentral:lncRNA from 10 species